rnacentral:rRNA from 15 species
AAGUGUGAACACCUGCUGAAUUUAAGCAUAUAAGUAGGCAGAGGAUGAGAUACACAACUGGAUUGGCACAGUAGUUGCGAAUGAACAGCAAAUUGCUCAAAUUGAAUUUGGGGACACCUGGCCCUCAACAUGAAAUCUCUGAAUGCUCCACCAACAAAGGCUCAGGAACAAAACCAUUCUGGAGGGGAUUGUGAAAGUGCCAACAGGGGUGAGAAUCCU